GUGAGGAAUUUUGCGCAAUGGGGGCAACCCUGACGCAGCGACGCCGCGUGGAGGACGAAGUCUUUCGGGAUGUAAACUCCUGUCAGUGGGGACGAUAAUGACGGUACCCACAGAGGAAGCACCGGCUAACUCCGUGCCAGCAGCCGCGGUAAGACGGAGGGUGCAAGCGUUGUUCGGAAUUACUGGGCGUAAAGAGUAUGUAGGCGGCAAGUUAAGUUCAAUGUUAAAGCCCACGGCUCAACCGAGGAGAUGCAUUGAAUACUGGCUAGCUAGAGGGUGUUAGAGGAAGACGGAAUUCCCAGUGUAGCGGUGAAAUGCUUAGAUAUUGGGAGGAACAUCGGUAGCGAAAGCGGUCUUCUGGGACAUACCUGACGCUGAGGUACGAAAGCGUGGGGAGCAAACGGGAUUAGAAACCCGUGUAGUCC
rnacentral:rRNA from 1 species